GUCUUUUUGAUAANUAANUUUAAAGUCUAGUCUGCCCUAUGNANNAUUANUUAAAUGGCCGCAGNNUAUUUUAACUGUGCGAAGGUAGCAUAAUAAUUAGUUUUUUAAUUGAAAGCUGGAAUGAAUGGCUGAACGAGAAAAUAACUGUCUCAAUUUNAAAUUUUUUAAAAUUUUAUAUUUAAGUUAAAAAGCUUAAAUUUUUUUAAAAGACGAGAAGACCCUAUAGAGUUUNAAUAAUUUUUUAANUUUANAUNAUNUUUUAGNUAAUNUNNNUUUGAAUUNUAAAAAAUUAUUUUAUUGGGGUGAUAAAUAAAUUUAAUAAACUUUANUNUUUUNUUUUUACAUAAAUUUAUGAAUAUAUGAUCCAUAAUUNAAUGAUUAUAAGAUUAAAUUACCUUAGGGAUAACAGCGUAAUCUUUUUAAAGAGUUCUAAUCGAAAAAAAGGAUUGCGACCUCGAUGUUGGAUUAAAGUUAAUUUUAGGUGUAGAAGCUNUANAAAAUUAGGUCUGUUCGACCUUUAAAACUUUACAUGAUCUGAGNUUAAACCGGUAUGAGCCAGG
rnacentral:rRNA from 1 species